AGAGUUUGAUCCUGGCUCAGGACGAACGCUGGCGGCACGCUUAACACAUGCAAGUCGAACGAGAGAAGAGGAGCUUGCUUUUCUGAUCUAGUGGCGGACGGGUGAGUAACACGUGAGCAAUCUGCCUUUCAGAGGGGGAUACCGAUUGGAAACGAUCGUUAAUACCGCAUAACAUAAUUGAACCGCAUGAUUUGAUUAUCAAAGAUUUAUCGCUGAAAGAUGAGCUCGCGUCUGAUUAGCUAGUUGGUAAGGUAACGGCUUACCAAGGCGACGAUCAGUAGCCGGACUGAGAGGUUGAUCGGCCACAUUGGGACUGAGACACGGCCCAGACUCCUACGGGAGGCAGCAGUGGGGAAUAUUGCACAAUGGAGGAAACUCUGAUGCAGCGAUGCCGCGUGAGGGAAGAAGGUUUUAGGAUUGUAAACCUCUGUCUUCAGGGACGAAAAAAGACGGUACCUGAGGAGGAAGCUCCGGCUAACUACGUGCCAGCAGCCGCGGUAAUACGUAGGGAGCGAGCGUUGUCCGGAAUUACUGGGUGUAAAGGGAGCGUAGGCGGGAUCGCAAGUCAGAUGUGAAAACUAUGGGCUUAACCCAUAAACUGCAUUUGAAACUGUGGUUCUUGAGUGAAGUAGAGGUAAGCGGAAUUCCUAGUGUAGCGGUGAAAUGCGUAGAUAUUAGGAGGAACAUCAGUGGCGAAGGCGGCUUACUGGGCUUUAACUGACGCUGAGGCUCGAAAGCGUGGGGAGCAAACAGGAUUAGAUACCCUGGUAGUCCACGCCGUAAACGAUGAUUACUAGGUGUGGGGGGACUGACCCCUUCCGUGCCGCAGCAAACGCAAUAAGUAAUCCACCUGGGGAGUACGACCGCAAGGUUGAAACUCAAAGGAAUUGACGGGGGCCCGCACAAGCAGUGGAGUAUGUGGAUUAAUUCGAAGCAACGCGAAGAACCUUACCAGGUCUUGACAUCGUAUGCAUAGCUCAGAGAUGAGUGAAAUCUCUUCGGAGACAUAUAGACAGGUGGUGCAUGGUUGUCGUCAGCUCGUGUCGUGAGAUGUUGGGUUAAGUCCCGCAACGAGCGCAACCCUUACUGUUAGUUGCUACGCAAGAGCACUCUAGCAGGACUGCCGUUGACAAAACGGAGGAAGGUGGGGAUGACGUCAAAUCAUCAUGCCCCUUAUGACCUGGGCCUCACACGUACUACAAUGGCUGUCAACAGAGGGAAGCAAAGCCGCGAGGUGGAGCGAACCCCUAAAAGCAGUCUUAGUUCGGAUUGUAGGCUGCAACCCGCCUACAUGAAGUCGGAAUUGCUAGUAAUCGCAGAUCAGCAUGCUGCGGUGAAUACGUUCCCGGGCCUUGUACACACCGCCCGUCACGCCAUGGGAGUCGGU
rnacentral:rRNA from 1 species